UGAACACUUACACAUUUCAAUCGUCAACGUCGUGUCGGAUCACUGAAUUUUAUUAGGCAAAGCAAAAUAUACAACAAAUUUCGUCUAAAAAUCUCUAAACUAUAUAUUGCAAAAAUGGCUUCUACUAAAGUAGCGUUGCUUUUUAUGGCUCUAAUAUUUUCGUCAGUCGUACAAGCCGGUCCAAUUGCAGCCAGUAUUUGCUAUGCUGGAUGUGCUACAGUGGCUCUAACAUGUUUUUCAGCUGUAGGUUUUACCUUUGCAGUUCCAGGGUCUGUUAUAGCGUGUCAAGCGGCCUGUGUGGCCGCAUAUGAUUGGCCAACUCCAUAGAACGGUCACACCUAAAAUUACGUUUGUGAGGCAUACUUUUAAAAACUAAUUUUUGUUUAUUUUACUGACCCUACAAAAAAAAAAAUUAGGUUUAUAAAUUAUAGCAAUAUAAUAUAGCUGUUUAUUUUUUUAUCUGUACCUAUUUAUAUUAAGAUGUUUGUACUGUUAUUAUGUUUGUGCCGUUUAAUAGUAUUAUUGUACAUAAUUGUAUGUAUACAAUGACACAGUUAAAAGUCUCAUUUAAUAACUAUGCUAUUACAUUAGACAUUUUUACAUUAUUUAAAUUAUAAUGGUGACAUGACGAGAUUUAAGAAUAUUAGUUGAGUCGUUAGAAAUAUUAUUAUUGUAAGAAACAUAAUUUUUUUUCUAAAUUAUUAACUUAUAUAUUACUCAUUGAGUAUAGACACCACGGUAACAUUAGUAGGAUAUAUUAUGAAGUGAAAAUUAAUCUUUAGUAACGUUCUCUCCUACUCUUUUCAACAACAAACAACAACUGAUAUGUUUUUGACAUGGUUAUGUCUACCUAGUACUAUCUUUUAACAGUAUUAUAUGUAUUUACUGCGAAUAUCACUAUUUUAAAAAAAUACCAAUUUAAUGGAUCUAUUUAGACGAUGAAAAGGAAAUCUUAAAAAAAAAAUAGGCACGGAAACAAAAUACGAAUAGGUACAAUAAAAUAAAACAAAAGCCAAGACAUUUAGUUUCAUUUUCCCCUUUUAAUUAUGACGUAGUUAAGUUAAACAAAAAUUACUUAUUAUAAAUAAUUGACAAAAUAUAUAAAAAUUAUACAUUCCUCAAAA